GGCAACUCAGACGGAGUGAGCAGACGGCUGCGCGGGCAUUGCUGCCGACAUUAUCAUCAUAUAUUACCUGAAAGGACGCGUUAAAAUGGCUCAAGCGACGCCCAAAAAGUGUUUACUGCUGGGGGUAAUAUUCGUCUCCCUCCUAGCGGCCACGGAAGGGUUUGUGAAGCGGUGUUACUCGUGUCGGUCUCGGGGGCGGCUCGGAGACUGCAAGGACCCAGUGUCUUUCAACGUGACCAAGCUGAUGAAGGGCGUGGAGGCUGUGCCCUGUGCCUCGGGGUGGUGCUCCAAGGUCAUUGAGGGAAAGAAGGAUGGAGAAGACCAUGACCUAGCCACGGAACGCCAGUGUUUGCAGAGGUCACCACCAGAUGACAAGGAGCGGUGUUCUGAAGCACUUAUUGGGGUGAAGAAGGUGUUCAUUUGCUUCUGUCGUGGUGAUCUGUGUAACCCAGCCACCAUUGCUGCUCCUUCCCUCCUGCUCCUGCUGCCUGCUGCCCUCCUGCUGCUCCUGGCAUCCCGCAGUGACCCCUGACACACCUGCUGACUGACACACACCUGACAACACACACCUGCUGACUCACACACACACAUAUCCUAGAGUGUUAAGAUUUGUUACCUGUGUGUGUGUGUGUCUUUGGGACUGAUGGGUUAAGGUUUCGUAAAGAGAGAGACAGAGAGAGACAAGAGAAAGUGAAAGAAAGGAAAAGAGAGAGAGAGAGAGAGAGAGAAAGAGAGAGACAGGCCUACAAACCGUACUUAUUAACGUGUAAGUGUGUAGUGAAGUGUUCCUCAAAGGUUACUUAAGGGAACACUGUGUACCUUUGCCUUACUUAAUGAAGAACAGGUGAACAGAACACUUUUUUACCUGUCACUUGUUACAGGUAUAGACUCACGCAUCGACUCUCCUUCCUGAGAUUCAAGUGUCUAUAACGGAAAUAACUGAAUGGUUGUUGAAUUUAUACACUCAAGAUCUUCCUUCCUAGUGCGAGAGGAGAUUCAAGUGUCUAUAACUGAAAUAACCGAGUGUUUUUGGAACUUAUACAUUCAAGAUCGUCCUUCCUAACGUGACAGGAGGUUCGAGUGUCUAUAGACGAAAUAAUCAGCUGGUUCUUAAACUUAUAGAUUCAAGAUCCUCCUUCCUAACUCUUCCAAAAGUGACAGAAGAUUCAAGCGUCUAUAACUGAAAUAACUGGCUGGUUUUGGAAGUUAUAGUUUCUGCAAACAAGAUCAAAGAAGAUAAGGAAUAAAGAGAAGAUAAGGAGAAGAAAAGAGAAGAAAUAAAGAAGAGAAAAGAAGGUGAAAAAAUAAAGAGAAAAAGAAUAUCGUUGUUAUAUCAGAGAGACUGAGUAGAAAGCGGCAUUUCUUCUCAGCGAAUUGAUGUAAAGCCCAAUAUAAAGUUUCUAAAUCUAUUUAAAAUCUAUUUGAACCGACUCUGAAUCUACAUAAGCAAUUCAAGAGAGCAAGUUUACUUAUGAAGAACUCUGUAAUGGUUCCUGAACGUACGUGAGUGUUUGGAUCCUUUUAACUGUGGAUUCUGAUCACAUCUGAGAAACGCAAAGAAGUUACAUUACUUAUAAAGUGUUUGCUUGUCACAGAAUAGUGUAAAGAGAGUUCUGAAAGUACUUAUAGACUUUGAAUCUAUUUGAAAAGGAUCCUGAACUUACUUAAGAUUAUAUAAAGCGUUUGUUAUCGAUUCUGAAUAUAUUUAAAGACCACUGUGUAUUUUAAAAGGGAUUCAAACUUAAAUAUACACGAAAAACAUGUUUAUAUUCGGUUAUAAAAGGAUUUAAGGACUAAACAAAAUUUCAAAAGGGAUUCUAAAGAGAUUCCAACUCCACUUAAUCUACAUGGAGGCUUCAGCACUACACGACACGAGGGCAAGGACGCUACUAAUGGCCUAUUACGGCUUGGCUCACUGGUGAAGGCCUUGGAUAGCUACUGCACCCCCACCAGUUCGAAUCCCACUCACUUUUAAACAUUGCAUACUGAAAAUACUUGAAGAUAAUUGCGAUAUAAUGAACUUUGGUAUUAGAAAUGAGGGGAAAAUGUUCAGAGGAAGGAAGGAAAUGAGGAGAAAUGUUGUCCUUGUGAAGCAAAUGAGAAAUUUAAACGAAUAAGGUGCUAAACACACUGAUUGAUAAAGUAACAGUAAAAUAAAUCACGUGACAGUGUGUGUAUGGGUGUGUGUGCGUGUGUGUGUGACGAGGCAACCUAACUGGAGACAGAGAGAAAAGAAGUAACAGAAAGGUGAAGCAAAGAAAGUGAUGCCGGAUGGAUGGAAAUAAUUAAGAAAAAGAAGAGGAGGAGGAGGAAGAAAGAAGCGAGAGGAUAAAACUGUUUCCUUGAGUGGAUGUGUGUGAGAAAAAUAAAGUUUAAAAACAUGACAAAGCAAAAAUAGGAAAAAAAUAUAUAUUUAUAGAAGUCUGUGAGGAAGAAGAAGAAGAAGAAGAAGAAGGAAGAAAAAAAAAAAAAAACGCUCCUGGAAAUUCUCAACACACGAAAAAGGAAGAGAAAAAUAAGAAUAAAAGAACAUGUUAUUUCAAGAUGAAGAAUUACUGAAGAGGAAUUAAAAAGAAACCAAGAUUUAUGAAAGAAACGAGGAGGAAGAGGAAGAAGAAAAAGAGAUGAAAGCAAAAAUGUAAGAAAGAAAAUACACCAAGAAACUAAAGAAAAACUGAUUUGUAAAGAUAGAAAGACACAACAAGCAAACGAACAAGAAAAUAAACAAGAGAAGAAAAAAAAAAUACUGGGCUACAUAAACUAAGAUAAACAAUUAAUAAGUGCAAGAUUAACCAAGCAAGGAAACAAACCAAGAAAACAAGCUAUUCUCCCCAACCCAACCCAACCCAACCAAACCAAACCAAGCCCAACUCACUCCAGCCCAACUCAACUCAAGCUAAACUAACCCAAUCCAGCCCAACAUUAUCCUAAGCCACCCCAACUAAACCCAAACUCAACCCAGCCCAAUCUAACUCACUCCAACCCAGCCCAACUCAACCCAGCCCAA